GGUAGGGUAAUGGCCUACCAAGGCGAUGAUGGGUAGCUGGUUUGAGAGGAUGACCAGCCACAUUGGGACUGAGAUACGGCCCAGACUCCUACGGGAGGCAGCAGUGGGGAAUCUUGGACAAUGGACGAAAGUCUGAUCCAGCGACACCGCGUGGGGGAUGAAGGCUUUCGGGUCGUAAACUCCCUUUCUGGGGGAAGAAUAAGGGCGAGAGGAAAUGCUCGUCCGAUGACGGUACUCCAGGAAUAAGCAUCGGCUAACUUCGUGCCAGCAGCCGCGGUAAGACGAAGGAUGCGAGCGUUAUCCGGAAUUACUGGGCGUAAAGGGCGUCUAGGCGGUCAAGUAAGUCACCUGUGAAAGCCCUCGGCUUAACCGAGGAAGGUCGGGUGAUACUGCUUGGCUUGGGUGUAGGAGGAGAGCGGAACUCACAGAGUAGCGGUGGAAUGCGUAGAUACUGUGAGGUACCCCGAUGGCGAAGGCAGCUCUCUGGCCUACUACCGACGCUGAAGCGCGAAAGCGUGGGGAGCAAAGGGGAUUAUACCCCCGUAGUCCACGCCGCAAACGAUGUUCACUUGGUGUCGGUCGCAUAUACAGAUCGGUGCCGGAGCUAACGCGUUAAGUGAACCGCCUGGGGAGUACGGCCGCAAGGCUAAAACUCGAGAGAAUUGACGGGUCCCCGCACAAGCGGUGGAGCACGUGGUUUAAUUCGACGAUAAGCGAAGAACCUCACCUGGGCUUGACAUACUAGUGGUAGGAACCUGAAAGGGGGACGACCCUGCCUUCGGGUAGGGAGCUAGUACAGGUGAUGCAUGGCUGUCGUCAGCUCGUGUCGUGGGAUGUAGGGUUAAGUCCCGAAACGAGCGCAACCCUUGUCGUUAGUUGCCAGCGGGUAAUGCCGGGGACUCUAACGAGACUGCUGGUGAAUAGCCGGAGGAAGGCGGGGAUGACGUCAAGUCAUCAUGUCCCUUAUGCCCAGGGCGACACACAUGCUACAAUGGGAGGUACAGAGGGUCGCAAUACGGUAACGUGGAGCCAAUCUCAAAAAACCUCCCCCAGUUCGGAUUGUGGUCUGCAACUCGACCACAUGAAGCCGGAAUCGCUAGUAAUCGCGGGUCAGCCAUACCGCGGUGAAUAUGUACUCGGGGAUUGUACACACCGCCCGUCACACCAACCGAGUGGGGGGUACCUGAAGUCGCCUUUUUGAGGGCGCCUAAGGUAACCUUCGCAAGAGGGGCGAAGUCGUAACAAGGUA
rnacentral:rRNA from 1 species